rnacentral:tRNA from 1 species
CGGGGACUAGUCCAAACAAGACCUCUGACUUCGACUCAGAAAAUCGUGAGUAAUCCCACGGUCCCCGU